GGAGUCGGCCAGGCAGUCGCUGCACCGAAAGGUGCAGAGGAAAGUCCGGGCUCCAGAGAGCGGGAUGCGGGCUAACGACCCGGCGUGGCGACGCGACGAACAGGGCCACAGAGACGAGUCCCAGCCGCAAGGCUGGGGGUGAAACGCGGCAACCUCCAUCCGGAGCAACACCAAAUAGGCAAGCAUGGUGACCGAGGGCAACCUCGGCACUGGAGGCCGGCUCGGUCGGGCUUGCGGGUAGGUGGCUUGAGCCUAGGAGCAAUCCUGGGCCUAGAGGAAUGGCUGUCGGGGGGGCCCUUUUCGGAGGGUUCCCCGUCACAGAACCCGGCUUAUCGGCCGGCUCCCGCU
rnacentral:RNase_P_RNA from 2 species